GCAAAGCGAAAUUCAUCCUGGUUUUGGAUCAUAUCUAGAAUGUAUGACAAGAGCUCUUUUUACAGGUCUUGCUGCUUUUACCUUAGGUUGUCGUUGACUGACUGAAGGAAGAAAGAGCGUUUCCUCAGGAAAAGUCCCUCUCACUUGAUGAUGUGCUGGGGAAGCACCCUGUUAAUGCAGGUCAAGAACAAUCGAACAUAAGGCAGGAGCAUGACUGACUCUGGCAUUUUCAUUGAGCAGAGCAACCUUCGCCAGGGGAUUCAGAACCCUGUGAAUCUGCUUGUCACAAAGUGUGGCAUUCUUGUUGGGCAUGUAGUGAUGAGAACUAGAGUUGAGGCAGAGAUUCUUACGCCUUCUCUGGUUCUUUCAUAGGACAGUCACUUCUGAAGAAACAUCUUCCUUAUGGUAAAAAUGCUCACAUUCUAGUAUCAAGUGUUCU